UGUCUAGGAUGAGGAAAGAAGCAUAAAGUGGUAGUCUCUAAAAUAAAAAGAACGUGUGAGCUGUGCUGCUGCAGUAGCCUCAGAACACAACAUGCAAGCGUUCCGCAGGAGGUGAGAGCAGUCAAGGUGUGCUUCUCCCUAGUUCUCCCUGACACUUGCUCCUCUGACAGUCUUGAAAAUGCUCUUCAGAGAAGAAAACGCUCACAGAGAGUGGUACGUAGUAGUGGUGAGUCAGCACAGCUGCCCCAGGUUAAAAGGAGUUCCUUGUGAGCACUUCCACCCAUGGAGCUCCAGGGGGCUUGCGGAGAGGGACUGAAAAUGGGGUUUGGGUCUGUCCUGAACCUGAGUGUGGUGGCAGUUUCAUUACAGUCCGAGUUGCGCUGAUUUGAAGUGGAACUUUCUUAGGCUUUAUCAUCCCAACAGCUGUAAUUAGUCUCCUUAUUAGGUGUGUCAGGAGUCUAAUGGGUCUGAUUCACCUCUUCUUUAAAUGUGGUGUAAACUGGGAGUGAUUGUGGGAAGACACAAAAGAUUCCACGUGAAAAACUUGUCCUUGAGAUAAGACAGACAGGUAUUUGAAGAAACCUAGAUAUUUUAAAAAGUAUUGUGAAGAAUCUUUUGAUACAGUUGUGUGAAAUAUGUUUAACUGUGCAAUAUGUAAUGGGUAUUGUCACUGUGAUGAUUGCAGUCAUCCUGACGGCACGUGUUUUUACAAAGGUGUGGGGGAAAUAUUGGUGAAUGAACAGUCAACUCUGCCAUUGGCUCAGUAGCUCUGUCUGGAUUAUUGACCUGUGGUGUGGGAACCCCCACUUGCACUCACUGCUGCGGUGGUGGCUGUCAGAGAGGAGAGAACAUGGAUAACAGUAUGAAUCAGUGAUGAGAUGUGAUUUAUAAGAGCCUUCAAUACCAUCAGCUGGGGCCGAAGGCUGUCAAAGCAAUGCCGGACUGGCCCGCCUGGUGGCAAACUGCUUUCACUGGAAUCGCCUCUCCGUUUAGUUUAGGAGAGUGACUCAGCUGACUUGGGAAAUGUCCCCUGAAACCGUGCUAGCUGGAAGCCAGCCUUGGACAUGCCCUCUCGCUCCUACCACCAGGGAACUUCUUUCGCUGUGACAUUGUAAUGGGAGGUGGAGACACCUCGAGGAGAAGGUCGAAACAGACAACAGCAAUUACAGUCAGUAACAUCUAUGACUUGAGAAAAUCUUGCCUCAGUUACAGAAACCUCAGGAGGACUGUCCACCCUUCAAAUCUGUUUUGAUGUGUUUUAAAUGCAUGAUAUGGAGCACAGCCACUCUCAGUAGGUUGCAGAAGGAGGACAUAAAAUCAUAACAUGUCUUCAGAGUGGCAGGCUGGGAGUUUGGACUGGCGCACGUACCUGCAAGAUCUAGCCAAUGCAGUGUUGUGGCAAAUGUCACCAGUAAGAAGGUUUGGCUGCCUGUGUUCAAGGUCUGCCCUGAUACGGUGGAGUGUAACCUAGGAUCAGAGUGCUGUGAAAAGAGCUGUGUGUCAAAGAGCUGAGGGAAGCCUGCUGGGGCCUCCACUUCCCUUGGGAGCCAUGGCACAGGGCUGCCCGUGUCCUUGCUCCUUGUCUGGGGUGGGCUGUAGGGCUGUCUGUGCCUCGCUGUGGACCUUCCUGAUCCUGACCCCGAAUUGCUGACUUGACUUUUUGGCUUGGCCUCAGACCUGGCUCAUCCCUAUGGGCUUCUCCGACGGUCAUUGGGCUCCUGUCUAAACGUGGUUACUGUCACCGGACCUGCUCCACUCUUCUUUCUUGGUCACUGUGGCACUGUGCCCCUUCACAGUGAGGUCCUGUCCUGCCGGCCUGGCUGUCAGCCCGGCUGUGUUCCCCAAGCUCCUCUGCAGCUCCUGCACUGCCCUGCUCCUGGCAUUGACCGUGGCCUUUUAGACACAGCAUCUCCGUCUGUCUGAGAAGUCAGAGAGUAAAUGAGCAGCGAUACGAGAGGCAUUGUGGCAUCAUGCUGAUUUAUUGCUAUGACAAGUAAGAAAGAUGUGGCAUUAGCUUUGCCUCCCUUCAUUUCCAACUUCCUGAAAAGACAAACCGAAAAUCGGGUUUAUUGGCAAGAGCUCGGACCGCCAAGAAAACAGCCGGCAGGAGGAGCUCUCUAGACAUUUCGCUGGAUCAUUUUCGGACAGUGGCAGCUGCAUGUUUCAAGGGCGUCACUUUAGAUCUACUUUCUUGGGACUUCCUUGCAGACAAUCCAGCAGCAGCAGAAGACAGAGGCAACUUCGUGGUAUUGCAACUGAGCAGCUCCAGUAAUAUAUUUUUAAUUUUCUUUUGAGUCUUCUCAGAUUCAUUCUCCCACCGUGAUGCCUUUGUCUGCUGUUUUUUUCAGAAACUUAAGGUGUUCCUGAAGAUGUUGGGGAUUCUUUUUAGUCCCUGGAAGGGGCCAAGUGUUUUAUCUUCCAAGAAAGCUAGUGUAACAUUUUUAUGGACAGCAUCCCAAUCACAGGGUAGAGAAUUCCAAAGCAAUGCUUGUCUUUGCAUAGAAGGAUAUACUCCUGGAUUCCUCAUGACCUCUGAGGGGACCUACCUGUAAAGCAAAGAGCUCCAAAAUGUAUCAGUACCGCUCUGAAUAUUGGCCUGACAAAGUUAUUCAAAUAGUUCUGCCUCCUUGUAUGCAGUUCAUCUUUUUUUUCUGUAAGAAGCAGGUAUGGAAGACAGCAGUCACUCUUUUGCACAGCACUGCGUUCUCAUUAGUUAGGUGCAAAGUAUCACCCUGCUUCUUAAGGCCAGUCCUGCAGCCCUAAAUUGCGUGGGCCCUGUGGCUGUGCCUCUGCACCGCCUUUAAAAAAGAAGUAAGAUUUUAUUUUUUUAAUGUGGUGAAUUCUUUACUUUUUUAAGUCUGGCCCUCAGUUAUCUAAAUGGGAACUAGGUGCCUUCUGGUCUUGAAUGUUGCUGUAAUAAUUAUUUUGAUUCUGAAUGUGCCAGAAACUAUUCUAAUGCAUAUCAGUGUAAAUUAAGUCAAUAGAGAUUCUUCAAAUUUAUCCUGGUGUUCAAGAGAAUGGAAUUCAUGCACUUCAAUUUACAGCUUAUUAAGUGAUCAGAAUUAAUGAACUCGCAACAACCUUU